rnacentral:tRNA from 7 species
GGCCUGGUGGCGAAAUGGUAUCGCGUCAGAUUUCGGCUCUGAAGAUUGCGGGUUCGAGUCCCGUCUGGGUCG